rnacentral:rRNA from 1 species
GACCGAUUGGCCGAACGGGUGAUUAAUACAUUGGGAACGUACUCAGAAGUGGGGGGUUAACGCAGCGAAAGUUGCGCUAAUACCGCAUACGUUCUACGGAAGAAAGUGGGGGAUCUUCGGACCUCAUGCUUUUGGAGCGGCCGAUGUAUGAUUAGCUAGUUGGUGGGGUAAAGGCUCACCAAGGCGACGAUCAGUAGCUGGUCUGAGAGGACGACCAGCCACACUGGAACUGAGACACGGUCCAGACUCCUACGGGAGGCAGCAGUGGGGAAUUUUGGACAAUGGGCGCAAGCCUGAUCCAGCAAUGCCGCGUGAGUGAAGAAGGCCUUCGGGUUGUAAAGCUCUUUUGUCAGGGAAGAAACGGCUCCGGCUAAUAUCCGGAGCUAAUGACGGUACCUGAAGAAUAAGCACCGGCUAACUACGUGCCAGCAGCCGCGGUAAUACGUAGGGUGCAAGCGUUAAUCGGAAUUACUGGGCGUAAAGCGUGCGCAGGCGGUAAUGUAAGACAGAUGUGAAAUCCCCGGGCUCAACCUGGGAACUGCAUUUGUGACUGCAUUGCUGGAGUACGGCAGAGGGGGAUGGAAUUCCGCGUGUAGCAGUGAAAUGCGUAGAUAUGCGGAGGAACACCGAUGGCGAAGGCAAUCCCCUGGGCCUGUACUGACGCUCAUGCACGAAAGCGUGGGGAGCAAACAGGAUUAGAUACCCUGGUAGUCCACGCCCUAAACGAUGUCAACUGGUUGUUGGGUCUUCACUGACUCAGUAACGAAGCUAACGCGUGAAGUGACCGCC